rnacentral:rRNA from 1 species
CAACAGCGUAUAUUUAAGUUGCUGCAGUUAAAAAGCUCGUAGUUGGAUUUCGGGUGGGAAUGGCCGGUCCGCCGUUUCGGUGUGCACUUGCUACGCCCACCUUGCUGCCGGGGACGUGCUCUUGAGUUCACGCUCGGGACACGGAGUCGGCGAGGUUACUUUGAGUAAAUUAGAGUGUUCAAAGCAGGCCUACGCUCUGAAUACAUUAGCAUGGAAUAACACGAUAGGACUCUGGCCUAUCUUGUUGGUCUGUAGGACCGGAGUAAUGAUUAAGAGGGACAGUCGGGGGCAUUCGUAUUUCAUUGUCAGAGGUGAAAUUCUUGGAUUUAUGAAAGACGAACUACUGCGAAAGCAUUUGCCAAGGAUGUUUUCAUUAA